AGGUCUCGAUUGUGGCUACAGCAAUAUUUAAUUUUUGGGAAAUUUCGUGUUACCAAGGCGACGCUAUUCAGGAAAAAAGACCCCCAAUUGGCCCAUGGAUUAGGUUUGUCCUUCUCCUUGCACAUUUCUCAACCAAUCUCGAUCCUAACUGGUAGAAAUGAUGAUGAUGAUGAUGAUGACACCGUGAAGUGCCCAAUUUGGAGUAGGCGGCGCCUGGCGUCGAAAAACUGCUCCUCGGCAUCAAUUAUCAAACAUUCAUUACUGCACUCUAGGUGAUCAGAGAAGAAACGGAUACAAAACUGAUGGGUGAUGAUAAAUUGCUAAAAUAUUUUGCUCAUGACAGGAUGUGGGUGUGGCAUAGCGCCAAACUUUUGAUCUAAUGGUUCGCCACAAAACACGAAACGUUAACAACUUGAUUCCACAAAUGCAGAUCUGGAUCAUUAUUGGUACAAAUGAUGUUGAUGUCAACCAGAGCCGGCCCAAGGCAUAAGCGUACUAAGCGCUUGCUUAGGGCCCCGCGGCCACCAGGGGGCCCCCAAAAGCAAUUAACAAAAAAUUCUUAUUUUUUAUUUUUUGCAUGUACGAGUCUGACUGAUGAUUUCUAAAUGAUCAAAGAUAUAUUAUUGUACAAAAACACAAUUUUAGGUCAACAGAGUGCUGCUAGUGAUUCUUCCUGCCUCUCUUUAAAUGUAAAGCUGCCUCUGCUGCACCUGUGACGUUUGCCGCCUGCCGUGCAAUGCCAGUGCGCACUGGGCAUCAAAUUUAUUAGCCUUUAUUUAACCAGGUAAAAUCAAAAGCGCAGAUAGAGGCAAAGCAAUGUCACAAAAAAGGACAUACCCUUCAGGUGCAGAAAAAAGGAAGAAGAAGAAAGUGGAAGAGGAGAAAAAUGCCAUGAUAAAGGUAUGUUUGCAUGACUUGGUAAUAGAAAGUUUAUCAAAGAGAUUUGUAGCUGUAAUUAGCUUUAGCUAGGUGACGUUAGCUAGCUAGCGCGGUGCUAGCAAUAUGUUUUUAGCAUCAGGUUACUAGUGAGAUAUGUUGUUUGCACAAAUUGUUUGCAGCAGAGCACGGUAAUUUAUGUGAGUAAAAUGAACAUUAUUUUUUACAUCAACUCAUAAGUUAUGUGAAACUUCCCCAGGAGCAUUGUUAAAAUACUUUGGAGGCACAGAAUCAGCCCAGAGCCAGUCCACAUCCUCAGGCUCAACUGUGAGUGAUGAAUCAGGUCCAUCUCCAUCCUCUGCAGUGCUCUCUCACACACCGCCAUCCUCUGUGCCCACUGUCCCCUCCAUGUCUGAAACCACAGCUGAUUUAUCUACAACUUCCACCACAACGUCCCCUUCACACCAUGGGCCAUCAUCAGCUCCGCCAGUUAACCCAGCUGAGUGGCCUUCUUUCCUCUCAGAUUCAGACAGGACUGAGCAGGUGAUCAGAGGACACUGUCUAUUAAGG